UACGUAGGGGGCUAGCGUUGUCCGGAUUUAUUGGGCGUAAAGAGCGCGCAGGCGGCUUGGCAAGUCGGGUGUGAAAUCCCGGGGCUCAACCCCGUGACUGCAUCCGAUACUGUCAGGCUAGAGGUAGGUAGGGGAGAAUCGGAAUUCCUGGUGUAGCGGUGAAAUACGCAGAUAUCAGGAGGAACACCGGUGGCGAAGGCGGAUCUCUGGGCCUUACCUGACGCUCAGGCGCGAAAGCUAGGGGAGCGAACAGG
rnacentral:rRNA from 1 species